rnacentral:lncRNA from 1 species
UGAUGUGUGAGUUAAUUUAUAGAAAAUAAGGAAUUAUGUUUUAUAAUAUAGGGAUGAAGGAAAAUAUAUUUUGUACUAUAAUUUGAUAUCCUAAUAAACAAGUUGCUGUGCGGCCGUGCGGCUCUACAAUGGGAAGAUCAAUACUUCCUCGUUAAAUUAUUUAAUAGUAAAGUACGGUUGAAACAUCCUCCAUCACAUCCCGAAGCCAUCAACUCUGCUUUCGUUUAUCGAGAAAGCCCAGCCAUGAUGUUAUGGCCAUCGAAAUGCUCUGUGCCUCUCAAGCUCUUGGCCAUUUAAAGCUGGUCGAACGUUUAUGGGCUUGGAUAUUAUAAGGAAAAUUCUGCUUAAGAUUGGAUGAGGUCAGGUCAAUUCCAUGAUAUGAUGGCAUGCCGGCGACGCACUUAAUCCUCCAUGACUGCAAUCAAUCUCACAUCGGAGCAUUCA